AUGGUGCGUAGCGGUACGAGUCGAGGUAGUACAGGAAGUACAGGCGGAGGCAAGCGAUAUAAAUAUGGUCCAAGCCUCACGCCUCUUCCGCAGAGGGCUUAUGACAGGUCCGAGGAGGAAAUCGCAGCCAUAUCGAAGUCCGAGGUGGAAGCCCAUUUUGCACCGAAACCGCCACCGCCGCCAAGGGAGAAAGUGCCUGAGGAAAUGAUUGACCACUUCAUUCGUAUGGCUCAACCACCAGCUCCCAAGCCUGUUGACACAAACUAUGAGCGCCACAUCAGGAAGUUAAAUCGAGCACGUCUACGUAAGGAGGCGAGCUCGGGAUCGAGCAAACAAGAAGCAGCUGUCAAAAAAUGCGGGAAAACCAUUUCCCAGCUGGGAGAACAGGCGGCGCAAUCGAUUCCCUCGCUUGUUGUGCCAACAACAUAUGACAGUACGCGCGCCCAAUAUUAUUGUGGGCAAAUAGUUUAUGUUCCUGAGGUGGGCAAUGUGGUAAUAACGAAGGAGCAUAUAAUGCAGGCUGAAGUUCUCAAAAUCACUGUUGGACAACUCCUUGAGAUCGAGCCCAUGUCUGUGCUUAGAGAGGAUGAAAUAAAACGGAAAUAUGUCAGGGGCCAACCUUUGGUCGAGCCAGACAAGGUCAAGAACCUCCCAACGUGA
rnacentral:rRNA from 1 species